UGAUCAAGCAAAUGAUGAAGCUAAUUAUGAGGGUCCUAAAGAUGGUCAUAAUAGAAGGCUCAGCAGUAAUCCAUAUUGUGCGAAGAAAAGUAAAUUGAAAAGAAGCAAGCCUGAGGUGAUGGAAUCGGGUCUUAGGGAACAAAAGCAGGUAAUUAGAAAUCAGAUAAUUGAUAUGCUUGUGAAGGCAGGUUGGAAUAUUGAGUACAGGCCCAGGCUAACGAGAGAGUAUAGUGAUGCAAUUUUUUAUGAUCCGGAAGGAAGGCAACAUUGGUCAGUCACUUUGGCAUACAAGAAGCUCAAACAGAAAGUUGAAGCUGGGGAUGCUGACGAUAAGACUAAUUCUGCGUUUACUCCUAUUCCGGAGGAGGUAUUUAGCACAUUGUUCAGAGUUAGGAAAGACAAAGAGAUCAAGGGAAAAAAGAAGAAAAAAGAUGCUGGAAGUAAAAUGAGCAAGAAAAUGACCAACAAGAAGUUAUCCAAGAAGCUAUCUGCCAAAAACAACUCAGAUAAUAAAGGAAGUGUUGGUUCCAAAACAGGAUACAACUCAAAUGUGGCAGUACGGAGAAAAAAGUUGGGACCAAAUACAGAAGAUGGAAAACGCAGAAAGCCCUGUGCUCUAUUGGCUCGUAGCUCUCAGGGAGGGGUUGAUUCAGAUGGUGAUGAGUUUAUACUGUAUGAUGGGAAGCGCACUCUUUUAGCGUGGAUGAUUGAUUUAGGAGUUAUUCAGUGUGAUGCUCAGGUGCACUACGUUUAUGGUGGAAGA
rnacentral:misc_RNA from 1 species